CAAAAUUUGGCCCAUACUAAUUAAAGCAUGACUUCAGGUCCAAAACCAUGAGUUUGGAUUCUGAGUCCUUGGUCUGCUCUUUUUUCCUGCUAACCUGCCCUUUCAUCUUUAUUUACUCAGCAUGAAUAUAUUCUUACUUCUACAUGACAGGCGUGUAGCCUUUAAAGACCUUUAUGUUCUUAAGGUUUGGUACCCCACGAGAUUCAUUAAAGUCCUAAUCCCCAAAGUGAUGGUGUUAGGUGGUGGGCCCUUUGGGAGGUGAUUAGGUCAUGAAGAUGGAGGCCUCACAAUUGGAAUUAGUGCCCUUUUAAAAGAGGUCUCAGAUAAAUCCCCCAGUCUCUGCCACGUGAAGAUACAAGGAGAAGUGAACAGUGUGUGACCUGGAAGCAGGCUUUCACCAGAACUGGACCAUGCUGACACCCAGAUCUUGGAUUUCCAGACUCUGGAACUUAUUUAGAAGAUAAGGAUGAGAAUCACAGGCCUGGACAUAAAUGGAAGACCCACGCUCCACUUUCAGUUCAGUCAUCCUCAAGUACUUGCAAGGAGCUACGUGGCCCUACUUUUCUUGUCUCCCUCAGGCAGGUACUCAGAGCAGCUGGAUACAGGCUCCCACAGCCAGACACCUGCAUCACCAGGCUCAGCGGGGCCUGCCAACCUCCUCACUGAUGACACCCAGGAUGAUGUUCUCCAGCCCUGUCUGCACCCUUAGCUGUGACCGGCCCCGAACCACGGCCUGCCAAAGCAGGAGACCCUCACAAGUUCUGCACCUAAUGGAAGAAUCUUUCUUGUUUUCCUGCCUGAAGGACAAGAAGGUUUUCAGGUUCCUCCAGGAGCAGCCAGUUCCAAAUAGCUCAGGCCACCUCUUUCUCCAUGCAGUAAUCUAGCAGAUCUUCAACUUUUUCAGCAAAAAGGGAUGAUAAUCCUCAUUGGACUGAUCAGCAGCUAGAAUUUUCGGAGGCCUGUUUGGUGCAGAAAAUGGAGAUGGAAAGACUUUCUGAGCAAUGAGGACUCCAGCCAGACUUUGAAGAACUCCUUCCAAAGUACCAGGCUCAGGGAAUUCCCUGGUGGUCCAGUGGUUAGGACUCGGCGCUUUUACUGCUGUGACUCAGAGUCAAUCCCUGAUCCCACAAGCCGCUGGACGUGGCCAAAAAAACCCAAAAACAAAAAAGACAAAAAAAACCCCAAAAGUAAACACAAAGUACCAGGGUCGAUCUGAGAAGGAAAGUACACAACUGCUGUUGCCUGGGACAUUGUCAUACUGGAAGUUAAGAUGUGAAAAUCAGUAAAUGCUUUCUUUGUAUUAAUAAGCUCAUCAGAAGACUCAGGAAGUUGAAAAGGAGACUUAGUCUUCAACACUAUGUCUCAUCUACAGUCCUCCCUCAGUACCCAAGGAGGAGAGGUUCCAGGACCUCCACGGAUACCGUGGAUCUUCAAGUUCCUUAUAUAAGAUGGAAUCAUUCUGAAGAACUAAGCCUUCUGGAAUUGUCCCUCUGGUGUCACAGAGGUUUUGCACCCUGAGGCAGUGCGCCAGGCUGAG